rnacentral:rRNA from 4 species
UUAGCCUGCUAGUUGCACGAGUUCAGACUCGUAGCAGAUAGCUCAGUAACACGUGGCCAAACUACCCUAUGGAUCCGAAUAACCUCGGGAAACUGAGGCUAAUUCGGAAUACGAUUCACCGCCUGGAGUGGUGUGAAUCCGAAACGCUCCGGCGCCAUAGGAUGUGGCUGCGGCCGAUUAGGUAGACGGUGGGGUAACGGCCCACCGUGCCCAUAAUCGGUACGGGUUGUGAGAGCAAGAGCCCGGAGACGGUAUCUGAGACAAGAUACCGGGCCCUACGGGGCGCAGCAGGCGCGAAACCUUUACACUGCACGAAAGUGCGAUAAGGGGACUCCAAGUGCGAGGGCAUAUAGUCCUCGCUUUUUGCGACCGUAAGGUGGUCGCGGAAUAAGUGCUGGGCAAGACCGGUGCCAGCCGCCGCGGUAAUACCGGCAGCACGAGUGAUGACCGCUAUUAUUGGGCCUAAAGCGUCCGUAGCUGGCCGUGCAAGUCCAUCGGGAAAUCCGCGCGCUUAACGCGCGGGCGUCCGGUGGAAACUGCAUGGCUUGGGACCGGAAGACCAGAGGGGUACGUCCGGGGUAGGAGUGAAAUCCCGUAAUCCUGGACGGACCACCGGUGGCGAAAGCGCCUCUGGAAGACGGAUCCGACGGUGAGGGACGAAAGCUCGGGUCACGAACCGGAUUAGAUACCCGGGUAGUCCGAGCUGUAAACGAUGUCUGCUAGGUGUGGCACAGGCUACGAGCCUGUGCUGUGCCGCAGGGAAGCCGUGAAGCAGACCGCCUGGGAAGUACGUCCGCAAGGAUGAAACUUAAAGGAAUUGGCGGGGGAGCACUACAACCGGAGGAGCCUGCGGUUUAAUUGGACUCAACGCCGGACAUCUCACCAGCAUCGACAAUGUGCAGGAAAGUCA